GACGAACGCUGGCGGCGCGCCUAACACAUGCAAGUCGAACGAGCGAGAGAGAGCUUGCUUUCUCGAGCGAGUGGCGAACGGGUGAGUAACGCGUGAGGAACCUGCCUCAAAGAGGGGGACAACAGUUGGAAACGACUGCUAAUACCGCAUAAGCCCACGGCUCGGCAUCGAGCAGGGGGAAAAGGAGCAAUCCGCUUUGAGAUGGCCUCGCGUCCGAUUAGCUAGUUGGUGGGGUAACGGCCCACCAAGGCGACGAUCGGUAGCCGGACUGAGAGGUUGAACGGCCACAUUGGGACUGAGACACGGCCCAGACUCCUACGGGAGGCAGCAGUGGGGAAUAUUGCACAAUGGAGGAAACCCUGAUGCAGCGACGCCGCGUGGAGGAAGAAGGUCUUCGGAUUGUAAACUCCUGUUGUUGGGGAAGAUAAUGACGGUACCCAACAAGGAAGUGACGGCUAACUACGUG
rnacentral:rRNA from 1 species